UACGUAGGGGGCAAGCGUUGAUCGGAUUUACUGGGCGUAAAGCGCACGCAGGCGGUCUGUCAAGUCGGAUGUGAAAUCCCCAGGCUCAACCUGGGAACUGCAUUCGAAACUGACAGGCUAGAGUCAUGGAGAGGGGGGUAGAAUUCCAGGUGUAGCGGUGAAAUGCGUAGAGAUCUGGAGGAAUACCGGUGGCGAAGGCGGCCCCCUGGACAAAGACUGACGCUCAGGUGCGAAAGCGUGGGGAGCAAACAGG
rnacentral:rRNA from 1 species